rnacentral:rRNA from 1 species
GUCGAACGGUAACAGGAAGCAGCUUGCUGUUUCGCUGACGAGUGGCGGACGGGUGAGUAAUGUCUGGGAAACUGCCUGAUGGAGGGGGAUAACUACUGGAAACGGUAGCUAAUACCGCAUAACGUCGCAAGACCAAAGAGGGGGACCUUCGGGCCUCUUGCCAUCGGAUGUGCCCAGAUGGGAUUAGCUAGUAGGUGGGGUAACGGCUCACCUAGGCGACGAUCCCUAGCUGGUCUGAGAGGAUGACCAGCCACACUGGAACUGAGACACGGUCCAGACUCCUACGGGAGGCAGCAGUGGGGAAUAUUGCACAAUGGGCGCAAGCCUGAUGCAGCCAUGCCGCGUGUAUGAAGAAGGCCUUCGGGUUGUAAAGUACUUUCAGCGGGGAGGAAGGGAGUAAAGUUAAUACCUUUGCUCAUUGACGUUACCCGCAGAAGAAGCACCGGCUAACUCCGUGCCAGCAGCCGCGGUAAUACGGAGGGUGCAAGCGUUAAUCGGAAUUACUGGGCGUAAAGCGCACGCAGGCGGUUUGUUAAGUCAGAUGUGAAAUCCCCGGGCUCAACCUGGGAACUGCAUCUGAUACUGGCAAGCUUGAGUCUCGUAGAGGGGGGUAGAAUUCCAGGUGUAGCGGUGAAAUGCGUAGAGAUCUGGAGGAAUACCGGUGGCGAAGGCGGCCCCCUGGACGAAGACUGACGCUCAGGUGCGAAAGCGUGGGGAGCAAACAGGAUUAGAUACCCUGGUAGUCCACGCCGUAAACGAUGUCGACUUGGAGGUUGUGCCCUUGAGGCGUGGCUUCCGGAGCUAACGCGUUAAGUCGACCGCCUGGGGAGUACGGCCGCAAGGUUAAAACUCAAAUGAAUUGACGGGGGCCCGCACAAGCGGUGGAGCAUGUGGUUUAAUUCGAUGCAACGCGAAGAACCUUACCUGGUCUUGACAUCCACAGAACUUUCCAAAGAUGGAUUGGUGCCUUCGGGAACUGUGAAACAGGUGCUGCAUGGCUGUCGUCACCUCGUGUUGUGAAAUGUUGGGUUAAGUCCCGCAACGAGCGCAACCCUUAUCCUUUGUUGCCAGCGGUCCGGCCGGGAACUCAAAGGAAACUGCCGGUGAUAACCUGGAGGAAAGGUGGGGAUGACGUCAAUUCAUCAUGGCCCUUACAACCAGGGCUACCACCCUGCUUCAAUGGCGCAAACAAAGAAAAACGACCUCCCCAAGACAACCGGACUUCUAAAAUUC